ACAACCCUAUGCGGUGGAUCACUUGGCUCGCGAGUCGAUGAAGAGCGCAGCAAACUGCGUGAAUUAAUGUGAUUUGCAGGACACAUUGAUCAUCGAUAUCUUGAACGCAUAUUGCGGUUAAGGAUUUUUCCUUGACCACGCCUGUCUGAGGGUCGGU
rnacentral:rRNA from 1 species